rnacentral:rRNA from 1 species
AGGACGAACGCUGGCGGCGUGCUUAACACAUGCAAGUCGAGCGGUAAGGCCUUUCGGGGUACACGAGCGGCGAACGGGUGAGUAACACGUGGGUGGUCUGCCCUGCACUCUGGGAUAAGCCUGGGAAACUGGGUCUAAUACCGGAUAUGACCUGCUCUCGCAUGGGGGUGGGGUGGAAAGAUUUAUCGGUGCAGGAUGGGGCCCGCGGCCUAUCAGCUUGUUGGUGGGGGUAAUGGCCUACCAAGGCGACGACGGGUAGCCGACCUGAGAGGGUGACCGGCCACACUGGGACGUGAGACACGGCCCAGACUCCUACGGGAGGCAGCAGUGGGGAAUAUUGCACAAU